GAUAUGGAGAAGGAGAAUGAGCUUCGACUUCUGCGCAUCGGUACACUAUGGGGGCCGCCAUUUUAUCAGUUAACCUUAAAGUUUUGUUUACCUACGAGGUUACGACGUUGUUGAACCAGUUGUAAUUUGGAGUUAAAAUUAUUACUUAAUUUGUUUUACCGUUAGUGUACGUGUGAACGUGCUUGUUAGUGUUAAAGGACAUUAUUAUUGACAACAAACAUGUCUUGUACAGUUUCUCACUGUAAAAAUUGUCAACGAUUUCGUUCAGAAGGUGUAUCUUUUCAUCAGUUUCCGAAAGAUCGAAAACUUUUAAAAAAGUGGCUGAUUGUUGUGAAAAAAGAUGACAGCUUCAAACUGACUAAGUAUAAGCUGGUGUGCUCAGAUCAUUUCACAACAACUGAUUUCAUUGUUGUAAAUGAGUGAAAACGAUUGAAAUCGAACGCAAUUCCCAGUGUGAAUUUAGAUGAAAGUCUAGAAGCUUCUUCAACUUCAAUGAGUACUGUGAGUGCUACUUCAGCUGAUAUUUGAGAAGAGUCUCCAUCGAUUAUACCUCAAGGUGUAAAGAGGACAUUAAGUGCUGCGCAGAGAUACCAUGGAAAAAGCAGUAGCAGUACAAGUGGAAGUAAAAGCAAGAACUCAAAAAGUAGUUCUGACAGGAGGGAAGGUGAUAAGCUGGCGUUACAUAAAGAAACUACAUGAAUUACAAAAUGAUGAAUUCCUAAAUGUUGCAAACAAGUUGAAAAAGGCACAUUUGGAGUGAUGGAAACAUAAAAUGAAAUUCUAUUAUAGGUGAGUUUAGCAGCACAAACUCUUAGCAAGAGUUGCGGAUGCACUUGAAUUUUUAAAAGAUCUUGGUAUUAGUGAUUUUCAAGGUUGUGAAACAACAAUAGAAUUCAUCAGAAGGAUAGAUUCUUUAUUUGAUAUUCUCAAUUCCCGAAGUGUACGUGCUAAGAAUUUUAAGGCACCUUUGAGAGAAAACAAUGAAGAAAUGUGGCGUCCAUUUCUCAUCGACACCAGUGAGUAUCUUCUGAAUUUGAAGGAUGUCACUGGCGGGCCUUUGUGGUGCACGCCCCGAAAAACGUCAAUUCUGGGCUUUGUUAUUUCCGCUACGUCGUUCAUGGGAAUUUUUGAUGAAUUUGUUAGUAGUAAGAGGUUGAAUGACUUGCUAACAUAAAUGUAGUCAAGAUCAUCUAGAAAUUUUCUUCUGCUCAGUGCGGUAAGCUUUUAAAAAAACAAUUGUAUUACUUUUUUAUGCACUGGAAUUACACAAAUCUGUAUUUAUUUUUCUGUUUUCAGAUCGAGAAAUGGGUGAAACAAUAACCCUACUCCUCUACGAUUUUGUAAAACUUAGAAGAUUGCUUCUAUUUACAAACAUAACGAGGGAAGGAGGAAAUUGUAAAGUGCUUUGCACCACCUGUCUGCUCUCUGUUAAAACUGGCCCAAAGCAAAAGAGCACAAAUGUUCAACAAUCAGUUGACGUGUUUGUCUUGAAAAAAUAUGAUCUUGAUAUUUUGACUGAAGCACUUGCAGAUCAUGACUAUGACCGUCUAAGUUUAUUGGGCUGAGUGAAGUGGCAGAAAACGUGGCAUAUAUUGGUAGCUAUGUUGUCAAAAUGGUGGUGAAGACGUUUAAGUGCGCAGACUGCAUUUCUUCUUGUAUUGAAACAAGAAGAAGUGACUUACACUUUUACAGAUUAUUGGACAAAAAAAACAUGGGUGGGCUUAUUAAACCUUUUGCUGGGGUUGUGAAGACUUGUUGUUACUGUUAAUACGAAAAAUUUUGCAACUCACCGAUAAACUUCCAAGCGAUGAACAAUUUUUUAAAACUUUCGGCAUGCCAGCAUUCUUUUUCCUAAUUUAGAAGACCCACGCACUCGAGACGGUGGCCAUCGAUGAAGGCCAUUUAUAUAUUCUUAUUAAACAAAUAAUUAAUGCCUACAUGCGAAUAAGAAUGUUUCAUUUGAGCAAAAGACUUUCAUGUCUUGCUCAAGGCACUUCUGUUAGACAUGUGUACACAUAAUUAGUACUGUUUUCGCAUCAAUAAAUAUAUUGAAGUAUAA